GUUUGGACAAAUGUUUACUUGGACAUUGUGACAUAUUACACAUCCGAAACAUCCUAGCUCAAUGCAAAUUGAACCCGUUUACAGCCAAUGCAGGAUCCUUCUUAAAAUCCUCUAUGCGGAAACAAAAGAAUAAAAAUGUCCAUGCUUUUUAAACGGUAUACAAAAGUGAAUGAAAAAGCAUUUUCAAAAAUCAGUAAAUAAAAAUUCAAAACAAACCAGUGUUUUUUUGUUAGUUUUUUUUUUUCUUUUUGUAAGACAAGGCAAAUGAUACAAAAUGCUGCAAAUGCAAAGCGAUUUAAUCAAAGCGAUAAGAAUCUCAUGCCUGAAAGCAGUGGGAUCUAUUUACAUUAACAUAAAUACAAGAGAUCCAUUAUUAUAUAGAAAAGGAAAAAUAAACAAAAAAUAAGAAAAUUUAAAUAAAAAAAAGUCAAUUCAAUCCCAGAGAAAUGAAGAUGACGCAGGUAAACAUUAAACUGUAUUGUAUUUUUUUUUGUAUAGUUUUUAUAUAUUUUUCUUAGAAGGAAAUAUUUUUAGGAUCAUCACCUAUAUAUAAAAGUUUUAAAUGUUUGUGAAUACGGAUGGCUGUAUGUAAAUAUGGCUUUUGUUUGGCUCCAGUUGUCUGUUACUGUAGUAAUGUCAAGCUAAGUGACUUUUUAAAAAAUCUUAUUUCUUGAUAUCAUUUAGUACAGAUUGUCUGCUAAAAUAAAAAAGACCUAGACACACACCUAAAUGUAAACUUUUAUACUUUUUAGAAUUAUGCUCUCUUUAAAGGUGAAUUAUCCAUCACUGAAGUUCAUAAGUGCUCUCCCAAAAAAUAUAGAUUUUAUAAAUUAGUCAUUUUAAAAAAUAAUUUUAGAGAUGAAAAAUCAAUCUUUAAGGGAAUACCCCUUAAAGGCCACAGAGCAGCAAACACUGAAGACAUCGAUAUAUUAUCGUUCGUCAGCGCAGGACAAUAUCAAAGAAAAACUUAUCUUUGUUUAUGGGAACAGGUGUGGGAGGUUAAAGGUGCCAAUAUUUUGCCUUUUUUUUUUUUUUUUAAAGGACAGUAAAGCCCACCCCCAAUGCUAUUAGACCGUUGUUACCCGUGGCAUUAAAAGGGUUAAAGAGUCUAUAUGUAUAUAGAGAGGGAGAGACUGUUAACAUAAAGCCUGGACUGAGUUAGUCAAUAUUUGAGUGGACUGGAAGACAAUUGGUUAAAACUAUGUCAUUUACAUUUUAUUUCUGGAAAUAAUUUAGAAAUGGAGGAUUUCACAACAGAAACUGAAAUGUUGUUUUUGGCCCGUUAUGAACCCCUGAAGAGGCAGCACUAGAAAAAAAAAAAAAAAAAAAAAAGACAUCUCCUCCAUAGCACUGGAAAGGCAAUAAUGAAGUAAUGCGAUACAAAUGUUUUGUAAGCACUGAUCGCUUAAAAAAAAAAAUUCAAAAAAUGUUUUACAACUAAAACAUUGAAAAGUGCAGGAGAUGCAUCUGUUCUCGAGUGGUCUAUAUGAGGAUUGUAACAGUAGUAGAAUUUAGCAUCAUCUCGAAUUUAUAAAAACUGGUAUGCUGCUGACCUCUAGUGGUGACAAACAAUAUAUGACAAAAGAAGUGGAAACCAGGGAAGUUAUAUUACUAGCAGACUACGUAUAUUAAGCCUGUUAGAGAUAUUAAGAAUGCUUCAUUUAACCCCUUAAGGACACAUGACAUGUGUGACAUGUCACGAUUCCCUUUUAUUCCAGAAGUUUGGUCCAUAAGGGAUUAAGGAGUUAUAUUUCAAACUAUUUCCUUGCCGAUGAAGACACAUUUUCAAGAUAGCAAGCUGCCAGGCAGCUCCAACUAACAAGUUUAAAUAUAGAUUAAGAUUAAAGAAAUUUUUUUUUUUUUUAAUUUUGUUUCCAGAAUCCAUUGAAAUGUUUUAAUUCUACACUUUUCCAACCAAAGUGCUUCUGCAUUGGAAAAGUGCAAAUAAGC
rnacentral:lncRNA from 1 species